rnacentral:rRNA from 1 species
UCCUCCCUCUUUCUUUGUGCUUAACACAUGCAAGUCGAACGGUAAGGCCCUUUCGGGGGUCCACGAGUGGCGAACGGGUGAGUAACACGUGAGUAACCUGCCCUCAUCUCUGGGAUAACAGUCGGAAACGGUUGCUAAUACUGGAUAUGAGCUUGCAAGGCAUCUUGUGGGUUGGAAAGAUUUUUUUUGGUUGGGGAUGGACUCGCGGCCUAUCAGCUUGUUGGUGAGGUAGUGGCUCACCAAGGCUUCGACGGGUAGCCGGCCUGAGAGGGCGACCGGCCACAUUGGGACUGAGAUACGGCCCAAACUCCUACGGGAGGCAGCAGUGGGGAAUAUUGCACAAUGGACGGAAGUCUGAUGCAGCAACGCCGCGUGCGGGAUGACGGCCUUCGGGUUGUAAACCGCUGUCAAUUGUGACGAAGCUUUUUUGUGACGGUAGCAGUAGAAGAAGCACCGGCUAACUACGUG